rnacentral:rRNA from 1 species
GUCCACGCCGUAAACGAUAGAUGCUAGCUGCUGGGAAGCCUUAUCUUUUCUCGGUGGCGCAGCUAACGCGUUAAGCAUCCCGCCUGGGAAGUACGGUCGCAAGACUAAAACUCAAAGGAAUUGACGGGGGCCCCGCACAAGCGGUGGAGCAUGUGGUUUAAUUCGAAGCAACGCGAAGAACCUUACCUGGGUUUGACAUCUCUGGAACCCCGAUGAAAGUUGGGGGUGCCUGAGCAAUCAGGAGCCAGAAGACAGGUGCUGCAUGGCUGUCGU